CCUACGUGGGACAGCAGUGAGGAAUAUUGGUCAAUGGGCGCGAGCCUGAACCAGCCAAGUAGCGUGAAGGAUGACUGCCCUACGGGUUGUAAACUUCUUUUAUAAAGGAAUAAAGUGAGGCACGUGUGCCUUUUUGUAUGUACUUUAUGAAUAAGGAUCGGCUAACUCCGUGCCAGCAGCCGCGGUAAUACGGAGGAUCCGAGCGUUAUCCGGAUUUAUUGGGUUUAAAGGGAGCGUAGAUGGGGUGUUAAGUCAGUUGUGAAAGUUUGCGGCUCAACCGUAAAAUUGCAAUUGAUACUGGCAGUCUUGAGUACAGUUGAGGUAGGCGGAAUUCGUGGUGUAGCGGUGAAAUGCUUAGAUAUCACGAAGAACUCCGAUUGCGAAGGCAGCUUACUAAACUGCCACUGACAUUGAUGCUCGAAAGUGUGGGUAUCAAACAGGAUUAGAUACCCUGGUAGUC
rnacentral:rRNA from 1 species